rnacentral:rRNA from 1 species
AGAGUUUGAUUAUGGCUCAGGAUGAACGCUGGCGGCACGCCUAACACAUGCAAGUCGAACGAAGUUAUUUUGAUCGAAGUUUUCGGAUGGACAUUGAUUUAACUUAGUGGCGGACGGGUGAGUAACACGUGAGCAAUCUGCCUUUCAGAGUGGGAUACCGUUUGGAAACGAACGUUAAUACCGCAUAACGCAGCGAGGCCGCAUGACCUUGCUGCCAAAGAUUUAUCGCUGAAAGAUGAGCUCGCGUCUGAUUAGAUAGUUGGUGAGGUAACGGCUCACCAAGUCGACGAUCAGUAGCCGGACUGAGAGGUUGAACGGCCACAUUGGGACUGAGACACGGCCCAG